rnacentral:rRNA from 1 species
UACUAUAGCUUGACACUGAACAUUGAGCCUUGAUGUGUAGGAUAGGUGGGAGGCUUUGAAGUGUGGACGCCAGUCUGCAUGGAGCCGACCUUGAAAUACCACCCUUUAAUGUUUGAUGUUCUAACGUUGGCCCCUAAUCGGGGUUGCGGACAGUGUCUGGUGGGUAGUUUGACUGGGGCGGUCUCCUCCUAAAGAGUAACGGAGGAGCACGAAGGUUGGCUAAUCCUGGUCGGACAUCAGGAGGUUAGUGCAAUGGCAUAAGCCAGCUUGACUGCGAGCGUGACGGCGCGAGCAGGUGCGAAAGCAGGUCAUAGUGAUCCGGUGGUUCUGAAUGGAAGGGCCAUCGCUCAACGGAUAAAAGGUACUCCGGGGAUAACAGGCUGAUACCGCCCAAGAGUUCAUAUCGACGGCGGUGUUUGGCACCUCGAUGUCGGCUCAUCACAUCCUGGGGCUGAAGUAGGUCCCAAGGGUAUGGCUGUUCGCCAUUUAAAGUGGUACGCGAGCUGGGUUUAGAACGUCGUGAGACAGUUCGGUCCCUAUCUGCCGUGGGCGCUGGAGAACUGAGGGGGGCUGCUCCUAGUACGAGAGGACCGGAGUGGACGCAUCACUGGUGUUCGGGUUGUCAUGCCAAUGGCACUGCCCGGUAGCUAAAUGCGGAAGAGAUAAGUGCUGAAAGCAUCUAAGCACGAAACUUGCCCCGAGAUGAGUUCUCCCUGACUCCCUGAG